AAUGUUCUGAUAAAAUGUUGUAUUUACAUGUUUUUGGUUGCACUUUCUAUCCCCCAAGGCUCCUCAGAAAGGACCACAGGACACGCCUCAACAUGUCAGGUUGAGCCACUGGUUUUAGGAGAAGAAGAAGGAGCUGCUGCGCUGAAAACAUGAAAGGAAUAAGAGAAAGGGAAGAGGAAAGAGAAGGAGGUGUGUUUGUGAUUAUUGACGCCGAUCAAGAGCACCUCUCCAUCCUUCUCUCGUCCGUCAUCGCUCAACUCAGAAAAACAGUCCAGCCUUUAUGCAUCGCCCAC